AUCGCAGGUUUGUGCUAGAUGUCGUUGGAAACGGAGGUGUAUCGCUACGCAGUAUCCGUUUUGCGUUGCAUUGAUGAAAGGUUUAGAAAAAGGGUGAAGUUUGAGAAUACUUUAUCAAUCGUGAACGAAUAACAAACGUGUCUCGACUGAUAAGUACCUAACGAUAGUCAACGUAGAAGCAAAGAACGUGACAAGGUAUUAGAUCAAGUUCGAGAAAAAUUUGAAAGCUUACAGAAUGCCGGACAUAUCCAGUCUAUCUCAUUACCCUUUAAAGGUGAUAUUUGCAAUUCAUUUAGUCCUAGUAACAUGGAGCAUUCAGGGACAUUGGUGCCCAAGGUCUGUAAUGUUUUACAAUUUUCUUUUCUUCGUUUGUUUAUUGUGGGCUAUUCACAAUAUCGAAUCAGACGAACCUCUGCAAUUUGCACUUUUUAUAAAUGUACUGUCCAUUUUUUUUGACAUAGUAACAUUAGCAGUCUAUUUCCCAUCAAUGUAUGUAUCUGAGACGCUUAGUGCAACAAUUAUGAUCAUAAACAUGAUUGUUCGCAUCAUCACAAGCGUAUAUCUUCUACGAAUAGGCCAAGCAAGAGGUGGAUGUUUAUCCACGAUGUUUACUACAGGUCCUGCAAUGGGUCAGUAAUACAUUGGAAUACAGAUGUUUUGUAGGCCUGCGUUGCUUCUACAAAGUUAUGCUUUGAGCUUUGGUCGACAGGAUUACGAGGACAUAUCUCAUCCGAUUCCACAAAAUUCCGAUUUUGCUGGAGUUUAAAAAUACGAUAUGACAUUACUAAAGUUCGAUACGUCGAAAAUUACGCGAUAUCGUUGUCGUAUCUCUCGUAACUCGUAAGAAGUACGCGCACGUAUAAUCACGUCACUGACAUUAAAUAUUACUUUAUUUAUAUAUUUUAGAAUCUCUAACAACGAUGACAUUCAGUGCAAUCUAGAAUUUUUAUUUUAUGUAUAUACCGUAUGCAAAUAACGCUCCGUCGAUACGCGAUGACACGAAAAGAACCGUAUAUUAUUAUAUCAUUAUAAUAAAACUUAACUUAAUUAUACGUUUCAUACGCCCAACCUAUAGAUUUUAUUCUGUACAAUUAUUUGUACUCGUAACAUGUGAAUAAAAAUUUUCAUUGCAACCGUA